rnacentral:lncRNA from 1 species
ACGAAUUAUCAAAAUAUCAAUCACAAAUUAACAAUUUUUUAUGUCACAUUAUUUCUUGAUUACAAUUUAUCUUUUUCACUGGUUACAGUUAACAAAAUAAUUUGUGACCACCACCAACACUUGUGACCACUAGCUCACCACUGCCUCCAGAACCAUCACCACCGUUGUCGCUAGAACUAUCACCACCAUUUCCAAACCACCCCAAAACCAUCGUCUAUUGUCCUGUCUACCGUCGGCCAUAUCGAGUCACUGCCACACUGUCGACUACUAUAAUUUCACCAUCACCUCUCCAAAUCAACAAACAAACCACUAAUAGCCUCCAGCAAAAUCAAACCAAACUACAACACACCGUCCGCUUCACUCUACUGCCAUAUUUUUCGAUCUCUUAACUAUCACUGCCAGUCGCCACCUCCGCCCCACAUCAACCCAUGGAAACCACCGUCAUCGACACCUCCUCAACAACAACCACAACCACCUCACACGCCACUACGCUGAUUUUCAACCUAAAUCUUCCUAUUAACAAAAUAUGUAAAUUUUCAGAAAACAUUCAUUUCAACAACACGAAGAUUAAAGCUAGGUCAAGCAAUGUCGUCAGGUGUCGAUCACAAUUGUACUGCACCGUUCAUAGUGGCGAUGAUAGUCCAAUGAGGCAACGUUGUCGGGUGGAGAUUGCCGAUAGGGCAAAAGAUGCGGUUUUUGAUGAUGCAUGGAGCGAAAGAGGUAUAGUAACACAACGCUAGAUGGAGAUCAGAGUUGUAUCAUGCUUCUCGCAGGGGAGGUGACGGUCCCCUGCACACGGCAGUGCCUCAUCGAUCUGACAAUAGAAGGGUAGGAAGGAGGAGAGAAGAUGAAAAUUAGGUUUAAAAUUGCGUGGGGUAAGGGGGUGGUUUAUAAAUAUAUUUAAUUUUAAAGAAUCAUAAUAUUAAAAAGAAUAAAAUUAUUAAAUAACUAAUUAUAAUCUGAAAUUUGAAAUAUGAAACUUAAGAUAUGAUUUGUGAAAAGUAGAUUUUAAAAACAAGUCUAUGUGUAAUUUUCACUACCCCCCCCAAAAAAAAAAAAAAAACAAUAUAGCGUUCAAACAAGCGCAUAGUGUGUCGAGUUUAGAAGUCAAAUGGAUCACAUAAGAGCAUGUUUGAUACUCAUUUUUUCUCAAAAUAUAUUUUGAAAUAGUAUUUUGAUGAAAAAUGUAUGGUUAAAAAAUAAAAAAAUAAAAAUUUGUAUUUGCUUGUGGUAUUAUUUUAUUGUAGAAUAUGUUGUUGAAAAUAAAAGAGAAAAAUGUAUUUUAGAAAUAAUGGUGACCAAACAAGAGCUAACUAUUUGGAGAAUAUUGAUCUCCUAUUUGAGUUCCAAUUUAAUUUAGUGCUUGUUUGGUGGGGAUUCUGAUAAUUGAUUUUUUGAUCGUUAGAGAAAAGUUAGUUAUAUUUGUGAGAGAAGAAUUCAAAAAUGAAGGUUGAAAUAGUGAAAUAACGCUCAAAAAUUGAUUUUAAUUGGCUUAAAAUCCGUACUAAUGUAUUUUUUAUUUUUUUCAUUUUCAACUAUAUAUUUUCCAAUAAAAUAAUACUACACGUAAACUCAAAACGUUUUCUUAUUCUUUUAACCACACAUUCUCCAAAAAAUUAGUAUUCUAAAAUACAUUGUUUUUCCAAUAUCUCAUUAAAAUGAAGCCCAAACAAGGACUAAGUCUAUGUUUAGUGGUGUCGAAUCCAAUGGACAGUUGACACUACAUCUCCUAUGUUUGAUAAUGUUUUCACCGAUCUUAAUGACAUUCUAAAUCCUGUCGAUUUAGGGAGAGAAAGGUGUGCAUGGGAGUACUGAUCCAAUUAAUUUGGAUAAGAUUGAUGUAGAAGAAGAAUCGCAUGUAAUGAGUGCUACCGAUCAAUGAAGAAGACGACGAACUAUCAAGUGUUAUGAAGACUACAAAAUGGCCACGGGUCAAGUUAGUGGAGCCAGGAUCAAAAGUAGUAUGCAGGUACUACAAAGUAAGACUGAUAUAGCAAAAGGGUAUGGGAACUACCUAUUAUUAGAAAUGUUUGGCAAAACAUGGAGCUAUGAAUCAUGUACAGGCUCAACUCCAAUUUGGUUUAUUGGUAAAAGAUUCUACUUAACACAUGGGUCUAUUCAAAUAAGAAAUGUUGCGAGAAAAUGGUCAAGUUCGUAGUAAGUGUUGAGCAAUCGCAUGGAAAGCAAACAGUUCACCAAAUUCAUGAGAGCAUUUUCAAUGGUGGUGUAUAAUUGAGUGUAAAUUGAUAUUUCCAAAACUACUUUUGCAUCUUCGUUUACUUCCCGAUGGAAUUAAAAUCAAAAUUUGAUCAAAUGAAAAUAUCUAAAUCUACUUUCAGAUGUAAAAAAAAUUUAAAGUUGCACCUUUUUUUCUUUUAACAAUUUUCUAUGAAAAAAGAAUUUACAUUUUCUUUGCAUCUAUCCAUUAGAUCCAUUUUACACCACGAUUAGAAAAUACUCUUAAGAGAAUAUUUUCAACUAAGGUACUCUCUAGUUAAUAGAAACAUUCUUCAUUUCGAUUGAAUUGAAAAAAAGAAAAAAAAGUCGCUAAUACAUGAUUUACGCAAAUAUAGUGGUGUUAUAUCUUUUUACGUCUGACUUGUGGAAGGGUACUAGUAAAAAAAUGAUACAUAACUGUAAUUACUCACUAUAUAGAUCAAAUAUGGGUGAUGCAUAAAAGAAUUAGAUUAAUACUAUUUAUUGCCACUUGUGUUAAGGACCAAUUUUUGUGGCAAUUACAUGACAUUAAAUGAUAAAUGCAACUAAAUGAUAAAUCCACUUAAAUAUAAAGUCACAUGACUCGUUUAAUUGAACAUAUAAAGCGUAGCCAUCUAAAUUGACUGCUAGUGAUAUAUAGUAUUAUUCAGAUAAUUAUUGUUUUUAAAUUAAUUCAAUAUCCUCAGAAGAUAAUAAUAUAUUCAAUGGUAUAGUAGGUAUUAUUAAAUAAUUUUGUUAUGAGAAUAAAUUAAGUAUUUUUACUUCUGCAAUACAUCUAUUAAUAAAUCGAUACUUUCUAAAUUAUGUCGAAAUUUUAAUUCUAUUUUGAUUGUUCUCAUUUUCAUGUUCAUUGUAAUUGUCAUAUAUUUAAUUUAAUUAUGUGAGAUUAGUUAAAAUAUAUUAGCGUUCAGAUCAACAAAAUUAGGAACAUAUUUUAUUACAUAUCACCUAAUAGAAAACAAGUCGUUGAAAAUUUUUGUACUAUAAUAUUGUCAUAUAGAAUUUUUUAAGUGAAAUGUAUGAAUUAUAUGUCCAUUGAUUAGAUAUGGAUGUUAGAUGAUUGCCCGUACGCACCUUAAUGCUAAGAUAUUGUUGUCAACAUCUAAACAUACAUUAUCAUUAUUAACAACGAUUAGUACUAAUACAAUAAAUACAAUUCCUCUUCAUGUCUUCUUCUUCCUACCACCAAAGUACAUCGAUGCCGUGCAGAUGGAAUAUAGAUAAAUUAGUUAAAUAUUUUAUUCGUGAAAUGCUUACAAUGGUAGACUCAACUGAUACAUUGGAAGUAAACUUACUUAAAUUUUGGAGAAAUAAUGAACGUCAAUAUCCAAUGGUUUUCAUCAUUGCCCGUGAUGUACUCACACAUUUUUGUCCACAACAACAAGAUAACAAAUGGCUUUUGGCCAAGUGAUGGUUUCGAAGAUAGGUUUGGACUCUGUGAGAAUGAUGAAAAAAUAAUUUAUUUAUUUUUUAUAUUUAUUACGGGGUCAUACCAUAUUCAACAAUAUAAUUUUCCUUAUCACUCAUGUUGUAAUUAUUUCUAUGAUUUCCAUUCCUAAAUUAGCCUCGGUUUCUCUUUCCCGUGUACUGUAUAAGUCUUGUGAACAUUUAUUCAAAGUUAGUGAAAAUUAUUUCAUUCACAUAUCAAUUGUAACAUGGUAUCAGAGCUUUAGGCAUACCUAUACGGCUGCACCAUGGAUGAUUCAGCUGCUGCUUAUGUGCCGGAUAUCACUAAGUCGCUUACAGAUGCGUCAUCCCCUUACUUUCUACACUCAUUUG